UGUGCGCUUCCCUCUCCAUCCCUCCCCAAAAAGCACUGCCGGCUCGGUUAGGACCUGACGUUUUCUGUCUAAGGUGUGCUUUAAUUACACACACAAAACAAAUGGUUAUGACCAAAAAAAAAAAAAAAAAAAAAAGGGGAAAAAAGAAAAGGGGGGCGGCCCUGAGCUCUGUGCUGAUCUCCCCACAAGACCCCGAGGAUCCGGGAGCGACCCCUCCACAGCCACAGAGCAGCUGGGGGGAACUCUGCUCCUGCAGGAGGGCCCCCCCCCAGUGCUGGGGUACUGCAGAGCGCUGGGGGCAGAGAGGGAACCGGAGCGGAACCGAGGGUUGACUUUCUUAGCAGUAGCCAAUGAUCCGUUUAUAGUAGCAGCUGUCUUAGAUACGCAUCGUUGUAGAGCGCGGCGCCGCCGCCAGCAUCACCUCAUCCAUAUAGUGACGAGAAAUUCAAAAGAGAGGGGGG
rnacentral:lncRNA from 7 species